rnacentral:tRNA from 1 species
CCUGCAUUGGCUCAGAGCGUAAAGCGUCUGCCUGGAAUGCAGGAGACCUGGGUUUGAUCCCUGGGUCAGGA